UACGGAAGGCAGCAGUGGGGAAUAUUGCACAAUGGGCGAAAGCCUGAUGCAGCUAUGCCGCGUGUAUGAAGAAGGCCUUAGGGUUGUAAAGUACUUUCAUCGGGGAGGAAAAAACAAAACUAAUAAUUUUAUUUCUUGACGUUACCCGAAAAAGAAGCACCGGCUAACUCCGUGCCAGCAGCCGCGGUAAUACGGAGGGUGCUAGCGUUAAUCAGAAUUACUGGGCGUAAAGAGCACGUAGGUGGUUUUUUUAAAGUCAGAUGUGAAAUCCCUGGGCUUAACCUAGGAACUGCAUUUUGAAACUGAAAUACUAGAGUAUCGUAGAGGGAGGUAGAAUUCUAGGUGUAGCGGUGAAAUGCGUAGAUAUCUGGAGAAAUACCUGCGGCGAAAGCGGCCUCCUAAACGAAUACUGACACUGAGGUGCGAAAGCGUGGGGAGCAAACAGGGAUUAGAUACC
rnacentral:rRNA from 1 species